AUGCAGGUACAGUUACAAUGUUUCAUUGUCUUUGCCCCUGCUUAAAGCAUUGGAUGCAUUACUAUCUCUGCCUAGCUCUACCAUAGGGAUGGUUUCUAACAU
ensembl:snoRNA predicted gene, 23772